rnacentral:rRNA from 1 species
CGGGAAUAUUGCGCAAUGGAGGAAACUCUGACGCAGUGACGCCGCGUGCAGGAAGAAGGUUUUCGGAUUGUAAACUGCUUUAGACAGGGAAGAAACAAGACAGUACCUGUAGAAUAAGCUCCGGCUAACUACGUGCCAGCAGCCGCGGUAAUACGUAGGGAGCAAGCGUUAUCCGGAUUUAUUGGGUGUAAAGGGUGCGUAGACGGGAAAUUAAGUUAGUUGUGAAAUCCCUCGGCUUAACUGAGGAACUGCAACUAAAACUGAUUUUCUUGAGUGUUGGAGAGGAAAGUGGAAUUCCUAGUGUAGCGGUGAAAUGCGUAGAUAUUAGGAGGAACACCAGUGGCGAAGGCGACUUUCUGGACAGUAACUGACGUUGAGGCACGAAAGUGUGGGGAGCAAAC